AAACAUGUUUGACGAGCAACACAGUUUAUUCGUUUCAGUGUGGACGAAUUUUUUGAAGCGAACGUACAACGGUCAUAAAAUUAGACAGUUACAAUUAGUUAUUAUUUGUAGCGCAUGCACUUUGGGAGCUUUGGUAGAGCUCAAGCUGUUAGUUAGGCACUUGUAUUUUGGAGUUGAUAUUGACCGGCCGCUACCUUGAUUUGUUGAACGGAAUUAACCCCAAAUAAAGAUUGAAAUUUAAUCGUGAACCCCUAUUGAUUAAAGUUAUCAAAAAGCUGGCAGCGUUGCAUAAAUCUUUCACGACCCUGUCAAAGGAUGACGUUGCUAGGGACCUGUAAAACGAUCUAAAGGGCCUUUUAUUUUGAGUACACAGUGGCGAACAAACCGUGUCAAAAACAGUUUUUUACAUAUUUGCCUCACUCACUCUCUUAGUUGAAAAACUGAUUUUGUCGAUUUGAAUUUUUGGCUUAAAUUAAAACAACGCUAGUAAACAGUUCAUAUGUAUAUGCUCAAAGCCCAAAAUGUACAAAACCGGUCUCAGUAGAGCUGGGGAAAAAUCGAUGUCAACAUCGAUUACAUUGAUUCUUUUUUUUUAGUCCGAUGCAUCCAUUCGGAUUUCAGGGAAUCGAUCCGCUGGACUAUUGGAAGAUUAACGCCACUGAAAUGAACACCCUUAAAGGAUGUGCCCAGCACUACCUAUGCAUACCUGAGUGCUCAACUGAGUGCGAGCGCAUAUUCAGUAGGGCCUGAUGCAUAGUCAGUGAAAAACGCGCCUCUCAAACCAAAAACGGUUGAUAAGCUAAUUUUUGCAAGCAAAAACCAAUGGCUAAAAGAAAUUUAAAUGCUUUGCUUAUUUUUAAAACCAUUAUUUUUAUUUAUUUUUUUUCUUGUUCUUAUUUUUGUUUUUUAGCUUUUUAAGUUCAUAGUUCAGUUUAUUUUUCACAAUUUAUAAGAUUUGAUCUCACUGAAAAAAAAAUUGUUUUUUUUUUUUUUCGAUUUAAUCGUAGUUUUUUUUUUUUUUAAAUCGAAAAGAAUCGAUGUACCGAGAAUCGAUUUUCCCCAGCUCUAGGUCUCAGAAAAGAGAGUUUAAAGACACUUCUAUAUUUCACUUUUAGUUCCAUUUUUCACUUUCUUUUGUAUCUGUAUUCGGACAUUUAUUAAAACCUUGAUCAUUGCCCGACGAUUAUUAACAUUUUAAAGACAAUUACUUUAGUACAUCAAAAUAAUAAACAUGCAAAUAAUCAAACUGACCAAAUUCGAAGUGUAACAUUUUAAGUAUUUUGUAAUAAUAAAAUGUAAUAUUUCAUAAAAAAUAUAAUAUAAUAAAAAUAUACAAUUUUUAUGCAUAUAAAUUUUUCAUUGUGAUUGGAAAGCACAAACAAAAAUGAAAAAAGGAACUAGAUAAAAAACAUUUUUUUUUAAUUUUGGUGAGUACAUUUAUUUUUUUUGUUGUGGCCGAUGUAAACAAUCGGAGCAGGGCUGUCACCUAGGGAAGGAAAAGGGUCGCAGGGUUGCCACCUAGGGAAGGAAAAGGGUCGCAGGGCUGCCACCUAGUUACGAGCAGGGAAAUUUUGGGAUAAGAGGGUUGAUGACCUGGUUCGGAUCGGGUCUGGAACAACGGUCCGAUCCGAAUGACCAUGCCAGGUAAAGAUGGCAGAGAAGGUGAUUUGAAAAGCAGUGGUCAAGCGGUGCGGUCGUAGACAUAUAAAAUAAAAAAAAAGAGGAAGACAAGAAAAAAAAAGGAACUUUCUCAUGUUUUGUGGCGUAAUUAAUGGGCUUCUUCAUUCCAGGACCGACCAGACUCGCAUCUCCAGGGGAAGAAGCCAGGCCGUAAAAAAAAAAACUAGGCCUGGCGUUUUUUUUUUAUGGGGGAUUUAAAAAAGUCUCAAAAAUCAAGAAACCUAACGGUCGUUUGAUCCCCCCUUUUUUUUCCUAUUGAUUUUGGCGCCGCGGUUUUUUUUUUGCGCCUUGCUAAGGAUUGAAGCCGGAACUGAAUGUGAUUGCGAAGGGCGGCUGAAA